GAUGAACGCUGGCGGCGUGCUUAACACAUGCAAGUCGAACGAAGCGACUAUGAUUGAGAUUUCGGUUGAUUGAUUAGUUGACUUAGUGGCGGACGGGUGAGUAACGCGUGGGUAACCUGCCUCGUACAGGGGGAUAACAGUUAGAAAUGACUGCUAAUACCGCAUAACCCGCUAAAGUCGCAUGACUUAGACGGAAAAGAUUUAUCGGUACGAGAUGGACCCGCGUCUGAUUAGCUAGUUGGUGAGGUAACGGCCCACCAAGGCGACGAUCAGUAGCCGGCCUGAGAGGGUGAACGGCCACAUUGGGACUGAGACACGGCCCAAACUCCUACGGGAGGCAGCAGUGGGGAAUAUUGCACAAUGGGGGAAACCCUGAUGCAGCAACGCCGCGUGAGUGAAGAAGUAUUUCGGUAUGUAAAGCUCUAUCAGCAGGGAAGAAAAUGACGGUACCUGACUAAGAAGCCCCGGCUAACUACGUG
rnacentral:rRNA from 1 species